UAUAUUUGCGCCGCUAUUUAUAGCAUACAUAAUAAUCAUUUAAAUAAUAUUGGAAUG
rnacentral:ncRNA from 1 species